rnacentral:lncRNA from 1 species
GUUCAGUAAGCAGGGCAGCCCAAAAAUGGGUUUUAAGAGAAGUAACAGAGGAAACUACAGUUGUUUGUUGCAUACUUGGAUAUGUGAGAGAUGGGUGUAGGAUGACUUGCCUACAUUUAAAAAAAAAAUUUAAUAUUUAUUUUUUAGAUGUAGAUGGUCACAGCAUAAUGCCUUUAUUUUUAUGUGGUGCUGAGGAUCGAACCCGGGUCCGGCUCGUGCUAGGUGAGCACUCUACCGCUGAGCCACAAUCCCAGCCCUCAAAAAAUUUUAAUCUUGUAAAUGUUAUUACAAAUGAAGAAAUGAGUCUUGGAGAGCUUAAGUGAUCUGCUCUUGGACUCACAGAUUUGAGUCUUUUCCACCAGGUUUCAGUUUCCUUAACUCUUAAGUAAGCUACCAUAAGAUUCCUACAGCUCCCCAAAAGUAUUUAACCCUAAAUUACAUCAGAAGACUGUGAUUCUAAUACUUAUUAGACACUAGUUCUUUCUUAGUUUCCCCGUUUGUAGAAAAGAUGUUGGAUUAGAU